rnacentral:misc_RNA from 1 species
AAGUCGUAACAAGGUCUCCGUAGGUGAACCUGCGGAGGGAUCAUUAACAAAUUUCAUUUUUUCAAACGCGGACCAAUGGGCUCAACUCCCAUUGCAAAGCUUUGCAAAAAUCAAAACACAACGCGAACGAAAUGACUGACCGCACCGACAGCACACACUAAGCUGAGCCUUGUGCUCACUUAGCUGCAGCCGAGCGGCUUUUUUUCUUUUUUUCUUUAACGAAUUUCACCUAAUGUUUGUUUUUCUGUGAACAGAAAUCAAAAACGUUUAUUCAACUAAGCACGAUCAAAUGCGAGUUUGAGCGUUAAGGUUAAUGAAUUUUUUUGUUUCGAUUAUAAUCGUUUUUAUAAUUUGAAUAUAAAAAGUCAAACUUAAAGCACAACUCUUAGCAACGGAUAUCUUGGUUCUC